GGUUAGAAAUGAACAAGUAAGGAGUUGGACGAGUUGUUCGAAAACAAGUUGCUGAAAGUUCCGAGGACGGUGUGUCACCUUUAACUAACUGCCCAAAUUGAUUUACAGCAAAGCAUUCGUCGCUGAGCAGGAUAUUCGGGUGAAGUCCUUAGAGAUUAUGACUUAGCUGCUGGACUUCAAAGCUCAGGAAACUCAAAUCCCUAGGAACAGAUUAUCUAACCACUCUGACAGCCUAGGGAAUGCUUGCUGAAUAUGUUUAAGU